rnacentral:rRNA from 1 species
GAUGAACGCUGGCGGCGUGCCUAAUACAUGCAAGUCGAGCGAACGGACGAGAAGCUUGCUUCUCUAAUGUUAGCGGCGGACGGGUGAGUAACACGUGGAUAACCUACCUAUAAGACUGGGAUAACUUCGGGAAACCGUAGCUAAUACCGGAUAAUAUUUUGAACCGCAUGGUUCAAAAGUGAAAGACGGUCUUGCUGUCACUUAUAGAUGGAUCCGCGCUGCAUUAGCUAGUUGGUAAGGUAACGGCUUACCAAGGCAACGGUGCAUAGCCGACCUGAGAGGGUGAUCGGCCACACUGGAACUGAGACACGGUCCAGACACCUACGGGAGGCAGCAGUAGGGAAUCUUCCGCAAUGGGCGAAAGCCUGACGGAGCAACGCCGCGUGAGUGAUGAAGGUCUUCGGAUCGUAAAACUCUGUUAUUAGGGAAGAACAUAUGUGUAAGUAACUGUGCACAUCUUGACGGUACCUAAUCAGAAAGCCACGGCUAACUACGUG